AUGGUGCCAAAGCUUGCGGACUUUGGUUUGUCCAAGCUCUUCAGUGAUAAACAAACCAUGAUCACACAAACUCCUAUAGGAACAAUUGGAUACGUGCCGAUGGAAUUCUUACAUGGAAACAUAGUCUCAAACAAGUUUGACAUAUUCAGCUUGGGUGUCGUAAUGAUAAAAAUAAUUGCAGGCCAUGGAGGCCAUUCCAGAAGUGCUGAAAUGCCUCUUUGUGAGUUUUUUGAUUUGGUACAAGAGAAGUGGAGGGAGAGGAUGCUAGAAACAUGUCAAGCUUCGAGGCUACUGGAAGCAUACUGCAAACAAGUUAAUGUAUGCACUAAGAUUGCACUGAGUUGCAUGGAUAUUGAUAGACACAAAAGGCCAAAUAUAGCGGAUAUCAUCAAUCAAUUGAAUGACACCGAAGCUGCAAUUAACAUGGCGUUGUCAUUGAGCAUAAAAACAAGUAGGCCAUGA
rnacentral:rRNA from 1 species